CAGCACCUCAAGUGGUCAGGAUGAUUAUUGGGCCUAAAGCAUCCGUAGCCGGCUCUGUAAGUUUUCGGUUAAAUCUGUGCGCUCAACGUACAGGCUGCCGGGAAUACUGCAGCGCUAGGGAGUGGGAGAGGUAGACGGUACUCGGUAGGAAGGGGUAAAAUCCUUUGAUCUAUUGAUGACCACCUGUGGCGAAGGCGGUCUACCAGAACACGUCCGACGGUGAGGGAUGAAAGCUGGGGGAGCAAACCGGAUUAGAGACCCGAGUAGUCC
rnacentral:rRNA from 1 species